AACACAUGCAAGUCGAACGAAGCAGUUAUCACGAUCCUUCGGGGUGACGAUUACUGACUGAGUGGCGGACGGGUGAGUAACGCGUGGGUAACCUACCUGUACAGGGGGACAACAGUUGGAAACGACUGCUAAUACCGCAUAAGCGCACAGCUUCGCAUGAAGCAGUGUGAAAAGUUUUUUCGGUACAAGAUGGACCCGCGUCUGAUUAGCUAGUUGGUGAGGUAACGGCCCACCAAGGCGACGAUCAGUAGCCGACCUGAGAGGGUGACCGGCCACAUUGGGACUGAGACACGGCCCAAACUCCUACGGGAGGCAGCAGUGGGGAAUAUUGCACAAUGGGCGCAAGCCUGAUGCAGCGAACCGCCGCGUGAGCGAAGAAGUAUUUCGGUAUGUAAAGCUCUAUCAGCAGGGAAGAUAAUGACGGUACCUGACUAAGAAGCACCGGCUAAAUACGUGCCAGCAGCUGC
rnacentral:rRNA from 1 species